rnacentral:sRNA from 1 species
AUUUGUAUAAAGCAGGAUGGUGCAGUAUUCUAGUCGGCCCUCCGUUUCUGAAGGCGGGCCUAAAAAUCCGCCAUAGGGCACAUCGAUGAAGUUCCUUGUGUCGGCUUGGGGCGCCCAGCCUUGGGUCGAUGCUGGGAGUUAAGGUUGCAGGGCGAUCCACAAAGGCAUGUGGGCGUUGACCCUGCUUCCGCGGAGGCCCAUUCUUGUAGGGAUUGCUAUCACGCAUGACCUAUGAAAUGGGGUAUGAACCUACGUGAUCGUUUUCGAUGGGAAUAACGAUCCGUAGCGUAGCCUGCCUUGAGUGGCUCUGAGGGGAUUAUGGCAUCUAGAGUCAACGCUUGAUGGCCACUAGCGUUGGCUCUCCAACGCCAUAUGAAAUCAGCGCUGCAAAAGAGGCUAGGGAACGGCCAAAGGCUGCCGAGGAAAACUCCUAGACUGUUCGUUGGACAAUCAACAGGGAUUAUAGUGUGGACUAAGUGGUAAUCCAGUCUAGUUACCGGUGACGGACUAAGUUGGGUUUAAAGGGGAACCGCCGAUGUGGCAACACACGGUACCCAACUGGGAAAACCUACUGGACCUAAGCCGCAGUUUUUACCUGUUGAUUGACCAUCCUGUCUUACAUAAUA